rnacentral:misc_RNA from 1 species
GUCAAAGUUGCUUUAGGAACUGCACCUAUUAUUGCCUCCUUCUUCUCACCAUCUUUGAAGAUAAUGACUGUAGGUAUGCUUCUAAUACCAUAUUGGGAUGCAAUUGAAGAGUUGUUAUCGGUAUCCACCUUGUAAAAUUUGAACUUUCCAGCGUACUCUUUAGAUAGGUCAUCAAUGAUUGGAUGAAUCAUGCGGCAAGGACCGCACCAUGGAGCCCAGAAUUCAACUAGUACGGGUAAUUUAGAUUCUAUAACCAGUGACUUCCAGGUAGCUUCUGAAGCAGCAGGUACAAUGGCAGCAGUUUCCUGAGCUUCGCAAACGAUAGUUGCCGAACGCUGAGUAAAUCUAGCAUUAGAUCUGGCAGAUCUUAUAGAGUGGGAAGUGAAGCUGUGAGCGAUCUUCAAGCCUCUGCACUGCGGGAGAGCGACGGAACUCCGACGGCCGGAGAAAGCGGUGGAAGCCAAGGCGGAGGAACAGGGAAGAGUGAGGGAAUCGAGAACCGUAGCCAUCGGAGGAAGGGAUUGAUGGGUGAUGGUGGUUGCGACUUGCGAGGGAGAAGUUUG